rnacentral:rRNA from 1 species
GACGAACGCUGGCGGCGUGCUUAACACAUGCAAGUCGAACGGAAAGGCCCUGCUUUUGUGGGGUGCUCGAGUGGCGAACGGGUGAGUAACACGUGAGUAACCUGCCCUUGACUUUGGGAUAACUUCAGGAAACUGGGGCUAAUACCGGAUAGGAGCUCCUGCUGCAUGGUGGGGGUUGGAAAGUUUCGGCGGUUGGGGAUGGACUCGCGGCUUAUCAGCUUGUUGGUGGGGUAGUGGCUUACCAAGGUUUUGACGGGUAGCCGGCCUGGGAGGGUGACCGGCCCCAGUGGGCUAGGGGAGCGGCCCGGAGUCCAUCGGGGGGCAGCGGGGGGAAAUUUACGGCAAGGGGCCGAGGCCUGGUGCAAGAACGCCGGGUGGGGGAAGACGGCCUUUGGGUUAUAAACCGUUUGUGCGUGGGGGGGAGCGUGGGGGCGGGAAAUGGUUAAAAAACCACGGCCAAACACGGG